GAUGAAGAAUGCAGCGAAAUGCGAUAAGUAAUGUGAAUUGCAGAAUUCAGUGAAUCAUCGAAUCUUUGAACGCACAUUGCGCCCCCUGGUAUUCCGGGGGGCAUGCCUGUCCGAGCGUCAUUACAACCCUCAAGCUCAGCUUGGUGUUGGGCCCCGCCGCCCCGGCGGGCCCUAAAGUCAGUGGCGGUGCCGUCCGGCUCCGAGCGUAGUAAUUCUUCUCGCUCUGGAGGUCCGGUCGUGUGCUCGCCAGCAACCCCCAAUUUUUUUCAGGUUGACCUCGGAUCAGGUAGGGAUACCCGCUGAACUUAAGCAUAUCAAUAAGCGGAGGA
rnacentral:misc_RNA from 1 species